GACGAAAGUCUGACGGAGCAACGCCGCGUGAGUGAAGAAGGUUUUCGGAUCGUAAAGCUCUGUCUUUGAGGACGAAUGUGUCUAAUGUGAAUAAUGUUAGAUAAUGACGGUACUCGAGGAGGAAGCCACGGCUAACUACGUGCCAGCAGCCGCGGUAAUACGUAGGUGGCAAGCGUUGUCCGGAAUUACUGGGUGUAAAGGGAGAGUAGGCGGCAUGGUAAGUUAGAUGUGAAAGCCCGAGGCUUAACCUCGGGAUUGCAUUUAAAACUAUCAAGCUAGAGUACAGGAGAGGUAAGUGGAAUUCCUAGUGUAGCGGUGAAAUGCGUAGAUAUUAGGAAGAACACCAGUGGCGAAGGCGACUUACUGGACUGAAACUGACGCUGAGGCUCGAAAGCGUGGGGAGCGAACAGGAUUAGAUACCCUGGUAGUCCACGCUGUAAACGAUGAGUGCUAGGUGUCGGGGGGGAACCCUCGGUGCCGCAGCUAACGCAAUAAGCACUCCACCUGGGGAGUAC
rnacentral:rRNA from 1 species